rnacentral:tRNA from 1 species
CAAAAGGUAGUAUAUCUAUUACAGCCCGCUUACACCGGGAAAAGGGCUUAAACCCCUUUUGA